rnacentral:rRNA from 1 species
GACGAACGCUGGCGGCGUGCUUAACACAUGCAAGUCGAACGUGUGGUGAACGGGUGAGUAACACGUGGGUGUCCUGCCCUUCACUUCGGGAUAAGCCUGUGAAACUGGGUCUAAUACCGGAUAGUGUUGGAUGGGUCCGCGGCCUAUCAGCUUUUUGGUGGGGUAAUGGCUACCAAGGCGCGACGGGUAGCCGGCCUGUGAGGGUGGACGGCCACAGUGGGACUGAGACAGGGCACAGACUCAUACGGGGGGCAGGAGGGGGGAAGAUUGCAAAAGGGGCGAAAGCCUGAUGGAGCCAUGCCGCGUGUAUGGAGAAGGCCUUAGGGUUGUAAAGUACUUUCAGCGGGGAGGCGUUACCCGCAGAAGAAGCACCGGCUAACACCGUGCCAGCAGCCGCGGUAAUC